rnacentral:rRNA from 1 species
UACGUAGGCAGCAAGCGUUGUUCGGAGUUACUGGGCGUAAAGGGUGUGUAGGCGGUUGUUUAAGUUUGGUGUGAAAUCUCCCGGCUCAACUGGGUGGGUGCGCCGAAUACUGAAUGACUUGGAGCGCGGGAGAGGAAAGUGGAAUUCCUGGUGUAGCGGUGAAAUGCGUAGAUAUCAGGAGGAACACCGGUGGUGUAGACGGCUUUCUGGACCGUAACUGACGCUGAGGAGCGAAAGCCAGGGGAGCAAACAGG